AGUCGAGCGGAGACAGUGAGUAGCUUGCUAUGAGCUGUUUUAGCGGCGGACGGGUGAGUAACGCGUGAGCAACCUUUCCCAGACAGGGGAAUAACACACCGAAAGGUGUACUAAUACCGCAUAAGACCACGGUUUCACAUGGAACUGAGGUAAAAGAUUUAUCGGUUUGGGGUGGGCUCGCGUCCGAUUAGGUAGUUGGUGAGGUAACGGCCCACCAAGCCGACGAUCGGUAGCCGACCUGAGAGGGUGAUCGGCCACAUUGGGACUGAGACACGGCCCAAACUCCUACGGGAGGCAGCAGUGGGGAAUAUUGGGCAAUGGGGGGAACCCUGACCCAGCAACGCCGCGUGGAGGAAGAAGGUUUUCGGAUCGUAAACUCCUGUCCUUGGAGACGAGUAGAAGACGGUAUCCAAGGAGGAAGCCCCGGCUAACUACGUGCCAGCAGCCGCGG
rnacentral:rRNA from 1 species